UGAGUAACACGUAUGCAACCUACCCAUGACAGUGGAAUAACCCGUCGAAAGGCGGACUAAUACCGCAUAAUAACGAGAUACCGCAUGGUAUUUUGUUCAAAGAUUUAUCGGUCAUGGAUGGGCAUGCGUUCCAUUAGGUAGUUGGCGGGGCAACGGCCCACCAAGCCAUCGAUGGAUAGGGGUUCUGAGAGG
rnacentral:rRNA from 1 species